UGCCUUCCACGGCCUGCAGAGGGCGCCAGACCGCAGCUCCCGCCCUGAGCCCAGGCUGCACAGCCACAGCUGGGACUGGAGCCCCGCCUCUUCAGGACCCACUGUGGAGACUUCUGGAGAAUGUGGGGCGCCUCCCACCCUGACAGGACAAGCUGAGGAGGGUGUGGCUCUGCAGCCACACUGACCGGACCCGUUGUGGAGGACGCGCCAACACUGGCAGCAGUCCAACCUCCUAAGGACCAGACGCUGGAGGAGGAAAAUUUCCAGUUCUCAGUAUAACUGCCAACUGGCCCAGGGGUGGACAAGUGAGUCAGAUGAGACCAAAAUGAAAAUUCUGUUGAGACACUGGACCUUGAGGAUUCAAGCCAAGGACAAAAAAGUAGAAGGCCACUAGAAACAGCAGGUGAUGGCCCCAGCUCCUGUCCCUCCAUGCAGAACAUCUGUCAACACCUGUGGACAUCUUUUCCUCCCCCCAUUCCUAUGAAUGUUGCUCGGUUGUUACAUGGCAUGGACAAAUGCUGUUGGCUGGUGGCAUGGACACACUGGACAAGCUUGGCCUUCGGUAAAACAAAGACUGGAUUCAAUUACUCAAACUGAAACAGGAAUGCUUGGAUGAACAAGCCUGCCAGGAAGUCCCACUGGAGGUACUCAACCUGUGCCCCUUCCCUCUUUGGACCAAGAACCUGAACUUGAGAGAUGAAUGGCUUAUCCAAGGUUAUGGCAAGGUUACACAGAGCUGAAACUAGACACAGGUGUACAUGCCUAUUGAUCAAGGCUGGCUGUGAAAUCGAAC